GCACUCGCGCCUCCCCCGCCUCGCCUCUCUCUCUCCCGCGCCUCCCAGCCCCGCCGCCGUCGUCUUCUCGCCCAGCCGGCCGCCGCCGCACGAUGCAGCGCCCAGAUCCACGGCGGGAUCGACGCGGCGUCGUUGACCUGAGCCACUACCGUCGUCGAGGUCCUCCCACCCCCUCUCGCCGUCGCGCCUUCCCCUCCUCCUCGUCCUCUCGCUGCUCAGCAGGAGGAGCACGGCUCGCCGCCGGUUCUCACACGCCGCUUCCCUCCUCCGCCCCUCCCUCGAGCCGCUCCUCACCCACCCACCACGGUCACCUCUCCUCCGACCACGCCGCCGUGCUGCGCGACGCCGAGUGGGCGCCCGCCCUCCCCGUCCCGCGACGGCCGAGAUCCAGUUCGUCGCCAUCGGCCUGAGAAGCGCUUGGGCCGCUGCUCCCCAUCGAGCCUGCGUGUGCGACGCAUCUGAUGGCCAACACAGCCGUGUACAACUCUGCUGCCUCCAGCUCGAGCGCCCAUCUCCACUAUGUCCAGGUUGCCGCUGUCGCGGAGUUGGAUGAGGUCAUGGCUUAGUUGACGAGGUCAACAACUAAUAGAGGGCAAAGUUAAGCAAAUUGUUGGCUCUACUCUCCGGGAUGCAUCGAAUGAUGGCACGACACGGGUGACAAAAGUCUCCAUCAGAAUUUGCAAAUAUUUACAAAGA